rnacentral:rRNA from 1 species
UACGUAGGGUGCGAGCGUUGUCCGGAAUUACUGGGCGUAAAGAGCUCGUAGGUGGUUUGUCGCGUUGUUCGUGAAAACUCACAACUCAAUUGUGGGCGUGCGGGCGAUACGGGCAGACUGGAGUACUGCAGGGGAGACUGGAAUUCCUGGUGUAGCGGUGAAAUGCGCAGAUAUCAGGAGGAACACCGAUGGCGAAGGCAGGUCUCUGGGCAUUAACUGACGCUGAGGAGCGAAAGCAUGGGGAGCGAACAGG